rnacentral:rRNA from 1 species
UACGUAGGGUGCAAGCGUUGUCCGGAAUUAUUGGGCGUAAAGAGCUCGUAGGCGGUCUGUCGCGUCUGCUGUGAAAACUCAGGGCUUAACCCUGAGCUUGCAGUGGGUACGGGCAGACUAGAGUGCGGUAGGGGAGACUGGAAUUCCUGGUGUAGCGGUGAAAUGCGCAGAUAUCAGGAGGAACACCGGUGGCGAAGGCGGGUCUCUGGGCCGUAACUGACGCUGAGAACACGAGAGCGUGGGUAGCAAACAGG